rnacentral:rRNA from 1 species
GACGAACGCUGGCGGCGUGCUUAACACAUGCAAGUCGAACGGAAAGGCCCUGCUUUUGUGGGGUGCUCGAGUGGCGAACGGGUGAGUAACACGUGAGUAACCUGCCCUUGACUUUGGGAUAACUUCAGGAAACUGGGGCUAAUACCGGAUAGGAGCUCCUGCUGCAUGGUGGGGGUUGGAAAGUUUCGGCGGUUGGGGAUGGCUCGCGGCUUAUCAGCUUGUUGGUGGGGUAGUGGCUUACCAAGGCUUUGACGGGUAGCCGGCCUGAGAGGGUGACCGGCCACAUUGGGACUGAGAUACGGCCCAGACUCCUACGGGAGGCAGCAGUGGGGAAUAUUGCACAAUGGGCGGAAGCCUGAUGCAGCAACGCCGCGUGCGGGAUGACGGCCUUCGGGUUGUAAACCGCUUUCGCCUGUGACGAAGCGUGAGUGACGGUAAUGGGUAAAGAAGCACCGGCUAACUACGUG